rnacentral:lncRNA from 1 species
GGAGAUAGUUAAGAAGUUAGGGAAAACUGGCCCCUCCUCAGACCCUGACUUUGUGUGUUAAUUACCAGUAACUUAGACUAAUGCAGAAUACAACAUACAUGAACUAUAAUCUGAAGUAUCAGAACAUAGGAGACAAGUUAAUUGAUCUGCAAGGACCUUCACUAACUUCUCAUACCUGUUUGUAAGUUGCAUAAUGUUAAAUGCUAUACCCCAAUUAAAAGAUGGGUAUAAAAGAUGGAGACUGGAAAGUCCUUCAGCUACGGUAUACAGAAAAUGUGAGUGGAACAAUACAGUGAUAGAUGGAGGAGGAGGAAUGGUGGCUGAUCAACAGAUGACAGCAGUUGGAAGAAGGAUCCUUCCAGGAGGUAAGCAAACCAUGGCAAAUGAAAGAUGGGGCAUGAUGGACAGACAGCAACUUUCAGUUACGGUGAAUGGACCACAGCACAAGGACAGUGGGAAGCAGCAGACAAUGAUUUCUGGUGCAAGCAAUCCUGGAUGCAGAAGAGGGGACUGAGAGACUGCAGAUGACCUGGUAUGUGUUUUGGUAUGACAUUUUCUUGGUGUCCUGAAAGUGUAACUUAAGGACUAG